GAUCAUGGCUCAGGACGAACGCUGGCGGCGUGCCUAAUACAUGCAAGUCGAACGAGAGCGACCGGUGCUUGCACUGGUCAAUCUAGUGGCGAACGGGUGAGUAACACGUGGGUAACCUGCCCAUCAGAGGGGGAUAACAUUCGGAAACGGAUGCUAAAACCGCAUAGGUUCCUUAGUCGCAUGACUGAAGAAGGAAAAGAGGCUUCGGCUUCUGCUGAUGGAUGGACUCGCGGUG
rnacentral:rRNA from 1 species